GUCUGGUCUCGUGUCGUUUUU
rnacentral:misc_RNA from 1 species